GUCCUGGCAGUAAACGGUGCACGUUUGGUGUGGGAGGAUUCGACCCCUUCUGCGCCGGAGCUAACGCGUUAAACGUGCCGCCUGGGGAGUACGGUCGCAAGAUUAAAACUCAAAGAAAUUGACGGGGCCAGCACAAGCGGUGGAGUAUGUGGCUUAAUUCGAUGCAACGCGAAGAACCUUACCUGGCCUUGACAUGCAUCUCUAAGCUGGUGAAAGCCAGUGAGUCUCGAAAGAGACAAUUUGCACAGGUGCUGCAUGGCUGUCGU
rnacentral:rRNA from 1 species